rnacentral:lncRNA from 1 species
UGUGCACAAUUUUUAAUGUUUCUGAGAACUACCACACACACAUACUAAGCUAUAUACAUGCUGUGACUAUUUUUAUUUUUAAGAGGGGGUGGCAGUCAAGACAAUGUGGUUUCUUUUACAGGUAACACUACAAUUCAAUUUUAAUGUCUUUUUCCCUCUCAUGUCACCUUUAUUUUUUGGUUCUUUUGAAUAACAAGGAAAAAGAUAAAUCGAGAGUCAUAAAGAGUUCUUUGGGGUAAACUGAGGGGAUAUAACCACCUAAUUAUGAAUUUCCUGAAUGUGCAACUUGACCAGCAGCAACUGGACGUGAUUAGUAUGGUGGGCCUCACCUCCAGCUGUUCUACAAAAACAAGUCAGUGAAGGAUUUCCAAGGCACAUUUUCCUCUGGACUUGUUUUAAGUUUAACAAUGCAAACAGUGCGUGUUGCUCUUUUUUUUUUUUUUAAUAGGUGACAGAUUGUCAGAAAAGAAACAAGAGUUUUCUACAACAAAAAACUGGCUUAUGGAACAUAUACUUCUGCUUGAGUUGAAUGUGUUGGGCUGAGUGUAAGAAAAUGCAAGCUGCAAAUCUGUCUUACAUGUGGAACCAAAGCUGGAAAUGUGUGCUUUAGAGGCAACUGUAAAAUUGUAUUUCCUUCUGGCAUAUGGGCCAAUGAUUAUGUUGUGUGAGUAAUGCAUAGAUGUAAUCCAUGUGGUAAGCUUUGUGGAUGAAGAAAAUGUCAGUGUUAUUGGCUGAGGCUUGGCAAGCAUUAGCCAUGUGUUUAGAAAAAUUUACAUGGCCUGAAACAAUGCAAAAAAUGUACUGUCCUGUUUGUCAGCUUGUGAACAUAGCAAAAAACCACAGCACUCCCAUCAGCACAAACACUGAGGGAGAAAAUCUCUCUUGCUGUUUUCCAGUUUAUGUUUAUAGGAAAAGGAUGUUUGCCUUACAACAAGGGGAUUUAUGCUUAAUGGAUACUAACUUUUACCAAAUCACAAAAUCUAAAUAGGCAUUUGUAGAAUGAGAGAUCCAAAAACUCUGGCAAUAUGAUAUACUAAGGGGAAAAUCAGAAAUCUUUAUAGAUUUUACUAUUACUGUGUUCAGAUCAAUUUUUAAUUGCUUUUAGCUAUGGCUUCUUGAGCUUCAAAAUAAUUGUGGAAUGUCUUCACUAAGUACACAGUAGCAUAAAUUCUACAGGAUGUUGUACAGCUCUGUAGAGGGAAAAACCACCAUGAAGAUAAAUGACCUUGGAGGACCCCAUUAAUCUUUGUAAAUAGCAAGAUGUUAUUUAGCCAUCUAUUUUUUUCUUAAACCCAAAAGCAUUUAAAAAACAGAAUAUUUAAGUUAUAAAAGGCCUUAAAAGUGACCCAGAGCUGGCAGAGGAAGGGAGCCUUAACAAUUGGUGGGGGAAACUGGGAGUGAGGGUGGAUAGUACUCAAAAGGAUGCUGUCUUUGACUUUAAUUUCAAGGUAUUACACAAAUUGCCCUCAGAUGUUUCAAUCUCUUCUUUCACAGGGCUUCCUCUAAUGUUUUUUCAUCAGUCUUAUCUGCCAUAUCAAUAUAAUGGCUUUUAAAUUUUUGCAAAGGGAACUUCUGCAUCUACCUGUGAAGGAUAAACUGAUACAAGAAUCACUUGCCUACCAUAAACAACUAGAAAAUAAGGCAAAAUAUAUGAAAGGACAAUUUUCAGAUAUUAGAUAUAAGGCGAUGCAGAACUGAAUUCCUGAAUCUCUAUCAUUAUCCUAGAGUACUGCCUUGAGGAAAAUUCCAAGAAAUAGCCAAAAGAAAAUGAAGUCAGAGUCUUGUUCAGUUGAGGAAACAAAGAUCAGUAUGAGUAGGCCAAAGUAGCUAUAACUUAAGGGCAGAGUUCAAUAGAGAGAGAGCUAAGCAGCAGAAGGGGUCUAGAAAUCUGCAUGAGAGUCCCCUUGAAUUUUUUGUGACUAUCAAUUUCUGUAUGUGUAAUGUGAAACUCUUUGUUGGGCAAGAAAAUCUUCUGAGAAAAGACUAAUUACUGAGAAACUGUAAAAUGAACAAUUCCCAGAAAUCACACAGGAUCAAAAACCUUUGUGGAUGGAGUUUCCUUCAUUCAAAGUGAAAAAAUCUUGUUGAAUACUUAGCCAUUCAGUAGAGACUUGAAAAGUGUUAUGCCUUAGAAGUGGGACUAAAUUAGCUCUAGAAUUUACCAUUCUAAAACCUCCCUAAAAGAGUUUAGAAACAGGCCUCACAAGAGAUCAAAAGUAACCUUCAAAAGCUAACUGCUCACGAAAAAGUCUUAACACUCAUUAAAAGAGUACAACAAAAUCCAGCACUAAACAAUGUAAAACACACAAUCUUAAUCCAAUUUUUAAAAAUCAUCAGACAUGCAGAAAGUAGGAAAAUGUGACCCAUAACCGAGCAAAAAUUUAGUAAAUGGAACCCAAAAAUGACAGAGAUAAUGGAAUUAGCAGACAUGUAUUAUAGCUAUUAUAAGUAUGUGCUCACAAAGAUAUAGGAGAACAUAAAUAUAAGGAAGGAAGAAAAGAAAAAUAUUUUAAAAGUCUCAGCACUUCUGAAGAUGAAAAAUAUAAUAUUUUAAGUAAAAAUUUCACCUAAUAGGAUUAACAACAGAUUAGAUACUGCAGAAGAAAAAAUUAGUGAGCUUGGUGACUGCAACAGAAAUAAUACAACAUGAAGCAGAGAGAGAGAAAAAAACUUAAAAAAAAAAAAAUCCUUAGUGCCUUGUGGGACAAUAACAACCGGUCUAACGUAUGUAUAAUUUUGCCAGCCAAAACUUUUCCAAAGUUGAUGAAAACUAUAAAUCCACAGGUACGAGAAGGUCAAUGAACCAAAAGCAGAAUAAAUAUUUUAAAGAUGUACCAAAGAACAACAUAAUCCAAUUACAGAAAACCAGUGAUUUAAAAAGUUAAAGCAGACUGAGGAAAAAGGAUACAUGAGUAAGAAAGAUAACAAAUAAAAAAAUGUAAGCAGAUUUCUAGUCUUUGCAAGCCAUUAUGACAUCUUCCAAUGAUGAAGGAAUUAAAGUCAACUAAGAAUUCUAUAUAGAGCAUAAAUACCAUUUGAAAAUCAAGAUAAUAUAUGAACUUUUUUAGCAAAACAAAGGCUGAGCUAAUUGGUUGCCAGCAGACCUGAACUAUAAGAAAGAUGAAAAGAAGUUCUUUGGGCAAAGGGAAGAUGACAGAAAUUUGAAUCUACACAAAGAAAUGAAAAGUGCUGGAAACAGUAAAUGUGUAGAUAAUAUAACGGAUUUUCUCCUCAAUUUUUAUUUUAUUUAAAAGAUAAUUGAGUAUGUAAAGCAAAAAUGAUAAUGUGUGUAUAUCAAUUUGUUUAUAAUAUCUGUAGGAGUAAAUAUGUGUCAUCAAUAGCACAAAAGAAGGAAGGGAAAAAUGGAAGAUUAUAAGGUUUUUACUCUAUUUGUGAAGUGUUACACUACUAUUUCAAGAUACUAUAAGCUAAAGAUGCAUAUUGUAAAUCCUAGAGAAAUGCCAUUAAAAAAAAGAGAUACAGGUAAUAGGCCAAUAGUAGUGGUAAAACGACACUCUAAAAAAAGUAGUGAAUCCAAAAUAAUCCUGAAGAGGUGAAAAAAAGGAAGAGAGAACAAAUGAAACAAAUAGAAAACCAACAACAAAAUGGUAGAUUUAAACCGACUGUAUUGAUAAUUACAUUAAAAGUAAAUAGUCCAAAUGUGUCCGGAAUUG